AUCCGGCAUGGAGGUCAAACCUGGCGUCAGUUUGUCUUAGCGGAGCGGCCGUGUGGUGGCCGGUCUACGGCAUGGCUCAUUGGAGGUAGCAGCGACAGCGGCAUCGCAGUUUCCUUCCCCGUCCAUGAGGCACACAUACUGGAACACGGCGGUCCAACCAACCUUUGGCCUCCGCUUCUUCCUCCCCGACGGUGCUGUGGAACCAACGCUGGGUUCCGCUACCCCUGACCGUGGCCUAACACGCACGAACUGAAGAUAAGUUAUUCUAUUUCUUCCUUAAAGUGAGAUCGUUUGCUUCUCUGAUCCAGUUCUAGUAAUUUGUACAAGGCCUUAGCUUGUUGUCAGGGAGGAACUUUCAUCUCAUUGCUAAAACUUGGGUAAACUGUGGGCAUACAAAAUACAUCUUUGUUUUUGUUGCCUUACAAACAUGGCUGUGAACAAACCGAAUGUUGGCAAACAAUCGUAUAUCCAUUUUCACUUAUUAUGAUAUUUCUGAAAGUGAAAGGGACUAAGGAUAGCACAGAGAGCAGAGAGCACACGGGUUAUGUUGGAAAAAUUGGUCGAAGUUACAAUGCAUUAGCUGGCAUAAAUAUAGCACAACUAGCAUGCCUAGAUGCACACAACGUUGAUGGUAAGAUAUGCUUGACAACUACCUAACAGGAUCAGAUUAUUCAUUUUGUAAAUGUAAAAAAAAUAUUAUUGUCUUCACAACGUCCACCACUGAAUAUCUCUAUGUAUUUCUAGACCUUGAUUUGAUAUUAAAAAGACAAUCCAAUUUAUCUUCACGCUUAUGUCCUGGAAGGUUUCAGGAUCUGUAUCUAUAUUCGUGAUUGCUACUGCAUGUGUUCUGACUCGGCUUGUACCUUCAUUAAAAUGAAGUAAUACUUAAGCUAUGUAUGAGUCUGAUUCGUGCAAGCCUUGUUCCUACUGCUGCCACCUUGUAUAAAUAUAUACUGGUUCAUGCAAUACUUGCUCCUACUUCAAACUUUUAGUCUGAACGUACCUAUAUAUACUUGCAUCAGACUAAAUUUGUAGUCUGAUUCGUGAAGUAGGAGCAAGGGUUGUUCCUACUACUGCCACCAUGUAUAAAUAUGUACUUGUUAAUUUCAUUUAACUAUUUUUUUCUGUCACAAAUAAUAGUACUAUGCUGGUCAAGUGGGCAGCGUAUAGAAUCGUCUUGCACAGAAGUAACAUGGAUAAUAUAAUCAAUGGGUUUAUGAUAGAAAAUCAUUUUUGUAUAUCCUGAAUGAAUAUAAACGAUGCAUGAUUAUUUCAAGUUGCACUUUCCUAUCUAUUAUCUCAUUGUUUAUCAAGUAUUUUCAUGUUUCAUAGUGCACUACAUUACAAUGGGUUUAUAUGGCCUCAACUACUGCUGCUAUAGUAGGAGUUCUGUGAUGUGUGUUUCGUCACUUUGUCAUUUGACACACUUUUCUUUGGGUUAAUUUUAAGCAACCUCAUGUUUAAUCUUGUUUUAUAGUAGAUACAAUGUUAUUCUCAUUUGUAGGCACUACAAGAUUUAAGAAUUCUGGACAUGUAAUUCAUUUUUAUAUUUGUUGCAAUUUUCUUAUUUCUACUAUCUAUACAUAUGUGCAAAUAUCUAAUAUUCUUGUUAAUAUGCUAGGUAAGAUUGGAUACUGUGCUACUUGGUGCUGCCCAUCACGGCAUGAUCGUUGCCAUCAAGA
rnacentral:rRNA from 1 species